rnacentral:lncRNA from 1 species
ACUUAUCUCAUUCGGCCUCAUCUCUCUCAAAGAUAUCAAACCUUAGCCGCCCUUGAACCCUCGCCAUCUCCGCCCUUCUCCGCCGCCCGAAAAUCGCCCAAUGGCUGCGGAGCACCUCUAAAUCACCCCAAAUUCAUACCUUAUAAUCCCCACACUCCCUCAAACGUUAAUCCAUCAACCAUUUCACCAAAAACCCCCAUCAAAAUCCUCCAAUUUCAAAUCUGAGAUUUUACCCCAAACCCUAAACUGUUUGGAAAAAUCCGAAAAUCACACCAAACGACCCUCAACCUUCCCUCCCCACAAUUCUACCAUUGAUUCCCCAAAAAUUCCCUUUAAUUUCCUCAAAUCCCGGAUCUAAGGAAAAAAACAGAAACCCUAAUUCUUUUUUUUUUCUCUUUUCCCAAGUUUCUUCGGGUUUUUCCAGACUCGUUUUAGCUUAAAACCUAUGUUAAUCAAUUGUUCUCAACAAGAACCAUUGGUUAGCAUAUUUUGGAUCUAUUUCGAAGAGUUCCUAAUUUGCCAGAACCCCUUAGGUAUAUCUUCUGCCUUCUUUUCUCAUUUUUUUGUAUUUGUUCUUGAUUUUGUGAUGUUGCAUAACCAUGGUUUUAUUUUAGGUCGAUUGUUUAGUUAAUUAAUUCACUGAUUAGGCUAUUAUUUAACUUGUUCAAAGCAUGUUUAAGCUAUUAGAAAUUGGCUUAGUUUCAUAAUUUGUUUAAUCAAUUGUAUAUUAAUUAGGUUAAUUUUUAGAUUUCAUUACAUCUGUAUUUUUGGUUCUUUGUUUUGUUACUGUUUUGCCAUGCUUGCUUGUUUAAAUUUAAUUUUUUGUUUAGGGUAUAAUUAGACGAACACUUUAAUUAACUGAUUAGUUAGGCUGUUUGGAUUAAAACUCCAUGGGCCUUUGAGUUUAAAUUGAUUUUAGGAUUGAAAAGUCGAUAAUCAACGCUUCUAAGGAUACAAUUGAAAAUAAUAAUAGGAUGUUCAAUUCUAGAAUCUUCUAAAUUGUUCUAGGAGGUUCCACAAGGGUUUGAAAUCAGAAUUUAAGUCAGAUUGGUUAAAAUUGAAACAAUUAGUACUUUAAAGGGUAAAAUUGGAUUUUAAAAUGAGUAAAUAUCAUAAUGUUCUAGCAUUGUACAACUGUCCCCAUUUUUAGUAAGAAAAAUGCUGAAAUUGGGUUUAAAAAGGUUAGACAGUUGUUCAAAUAUGAUGUACUAUCUGACAUUUAGGGAAUUUAGGGUAGAAUAUUCUUUUUUGAUGUUGUUUUUGUAUACCCUAUAAAAGGAACAGGUAUUCCCUCAUUCUAUGGACAUUAUCAUCUAGCAUUAGGAAAUUUUAAAAGGCAUUUUUAAACACAAGGAAUUCUGAAAAGAGUUGGAUUUUUAUACGGAUUUCUAUUCCUUUUUCUGAGUUUUCCACGUGAAUCUGAAAACAGAAAUAGCUCCAUGUUUCCUAGUUCUUGAUCCCUAUAGUUCAACGUUGGUAUAGAAAUAUUUUGGGGUUUUGUGGCUACUCUAUUGCUAUUGUUAUCCUGCUUGUUGCUGUUUUCUUUCAUGUUUUUUUCAGAGAUUUAUUUUCUCUUAUCUUUUCCAUUGUUGUCAAGGUACACAUCUUGAACUCAGAUGCUUGAUUUGGAUUCACUUUUAUGACCUCUCAUGUUUUGUAUGUUUGUUGUGAUGUAGUAUUUUACAUUUCAUGUAAAAGGUUGUAAAUGUUAAGUAUUUGGAAUGGAAGUCUGUCUUGAUCUUGUUGUUGCAUUCCUAUCUUUCAAUUACUUUAAAACAUGUUAUCUUGGUUAAGUCAUAUUCUGGUAAUCUAGGUCGUUUAUGUUCUGUAACUACUUGGUUUGAAAUGAUGAACGUUAAACCUGGUGUUUUAAAUGCCUUAUCCCGUGUUUAGUUAUUUUGUUUUGAUAUGGAUGUCCAUGAUUCCUUAAGAUGUGUUAAUGUUUUCUUUACUAGUAUGUGGUGAACACUUCUACUUAGCCUAGUUCUUAUGUGAAUAAAUUCAAAAAGAAUCAGUUUAAGUGCAGUAAGUAGUAUAAAGUUCAGACGUUUAAGUUGAGCUAGUUUGAUCACAAGUUGUUCAAAUCCAUCCAACGAGUAGACUAAACCAGUAAAGCUGGCUCAUGUGGAUCUGUGGCUGCAUUGCAAGCAAGCAAGAUAACAAAUGUAUAUGUUUUUUCUUUUAAACGUUCUUUUUAGUGAGAAUUGUAAUUAUUAUGCACACAAGAUUACCCAUGUAAAAAC